AGCAGUGUGGCUUAUUAGAAAAAGCACAGGCUUUGGAGUCAGAGGAUGUGGGUUCUAAUCCCACUUCUGCCA
rnacentral:tRNA from 1 species